AUGAACGCUAGCGACAGGCUUAACACAUGCAAGUCGAGGGGCAGCACAGGUAGCAAUACCGGGUGGCGACCGGCGCACGGGUGAGUAACGCGUAUGCAACUUGCCUAUCAGAGGGGGAUAACCCGGCGAAAGUCGGACUAAUACCGCAUGAAGCAGGGGCCCCGCAUGGGGAUAUUUGCUAAAGAUUCAUCGCUGAUAGAUAGGCAUGCGUUCCAUUAGGCAGUUGGCGGGGUAACGGCCCACCAAACCGACGAUGGAUAGGGGUUCUGAGAGGAAGGUCCCCCACAUUGGUACUGAGACACGGACCAAACUCCUACGGGAGGCAGCAGUGAGGAAUAUUGGUCAAUGGCCGAGAGGCUGAACCAGCCAAGUCGCGUGAGGGAUGAAGGUUCUAUGGAUCGUAAACCUCUUUUAUAAGGGAAUAAAGUGCGGGACGUGUCCCGUUUUGUAUGUACCUUAUGAAUAAGGAUCGGCUAACUCCGUGCCAGCAGCCGCGGUAAUACGGAGGAUCCGAGCGUUAUCCGGAUUUAUUGGGUUUAAAGGGUGCGUAGGCGGCCUUUUAAGUCAGCGGUGAAAGUCUGUGGCUCAACCAUAGAAUUGCCGUUGAAACUGGGGGGCUUGAGUAUGUUUGAGGCAGGCGGAAUGCGUGGUGUAGCGGUGAAAUGCAUAGAUAUCACGCAGAACCCCGAUUGCGAAGGCAGCCUGCCAAGCCAUUACUGACGCUGAUGCACGAAAGCGUGGGGAUCAAACAGGAUUAGAUACCCUGGUAGUCCACGCAGUAAACGAUGAUCACUAGCUGUUUGCGAUACACUGUAAGCGGCACAGCGAAAGCGUUAAGUGAUCCACCUGGGGAGUACGCCGGCAACGGUGAAACUCAAAGGAAUUGACGGGGGCCCGCACAAGCGGAGGAACAUGUGGUUUAAUUCGAUGAUACGCGAGGAACCUUACCCGGGUUUGAACGCAUUCGGACCGAGGUGGAAACACCUUUUCUAGCAAUAGCCGUUUGCGAGGUGCUGCAUGGUUGUCGUCAGCUCGUGCCGUGAGGUGUCGGCUUAAGUGCCAUAACGAGCGCAACCCUUGCCACUAGUUACUAACAGGUUAGGCUGAGGACUCUGGUGGGACUGCCAGCGUAAGCUGCGAGGAAGGCGGGGAUGACGUCAAAUCAGCACGGCCCUUACAUCCGGGGCGACACACGUGUUACAAUGGCGUGGACAAAGGGAUGCCACCUGGCGACAGGGAGCGAAUCCCCAAACCACGUCUCAGUUCGGAUCGGAGUCUGCAACCCGACUCCGUGAAGCUGGAUUCGCUAGUAAUCGCGCAUCAGCCAUGGCGCGGUGAAUACGUUCCCGGGCCUUGUACACAUCGCCCGUCAAGCCAUGGGAGCCGGGGGUACCUGAAGUCCGUAACCGAAAGGAUCGGCCUAGGGUGAAACUGGUGACUGGGGCU
rnacentral:rRNA from 1 species